AAAAAGUAUUUGAAGAAAUGAGAAAUAACUGCCUAAAUUCUAGAAUGACACGAAGCUACACAUUCCAGAAGUUUGAUGAACUCCAAGUAGGAUAAACUCAGAGAUCCACACUAAGCCACAUGAUACUUAAACUGUUGAAAGAUGAAGACAACAGGAGAAUCUUGAAAGCAGAAGGAAAGAAACACUUUAUCAUGUACAAAGGAUUCCUAUUAAGAUUAAUAGGCAAUUUCUCAUCAGAAAUUAUUGAAACAAGGCAGUGGGGUGACCUAUUUAAAACGCUGAAAGAAAAAAUGUCACCAUGGGCCCAUUUGGAGCCAGUUCAAACAGACCCCCUCCCUCAUCAAUAAAGUGAUUAAGGAUUGUCUUUCACCAGGUCAUGCACAAAAGAAGAAAUCAUGACCUGAAGUGACCUCAAAACCAAAGACCCUCCUUCCCACGGAACCCAAGGACAGGGGCAUGACCCGAACUUGAAGUUAGACUCUUAUCAGAAGCAAGGGGUCGGUCAUUCAGGAAGAGCCAGUGUUAAAAUGCCUUCCCCACCUCACGCAAAAACGUUUAGAACCCCAUCAUAAAUGUUUAGAACCUCAUCAUAAAUGUUUAGAACCCUGUCAUAAAUGUUUAAAACCUUACUGUAAAUGCCAGAAACCCACCAAUCAAAACCUGUCCCACCAGUAUUUCUGUGUGCCAGCCUGUUUUCCCUAACGUCUUAAAUUUUGUCCCAAAUACUUAACAGGGGAGACAGAUCUGAGGGCACAUGCCCCCUGUCUCCCUGCAGAUCACUCUCACAGAAUAAAAGCUGAUUUCUCCCCCAAAGGCUGAUGCCAUAAUUAAUCGGCUUGUUUAUGCACAUCGGGCAGAGAACCCCAAUUUUGUAUGGUAACAAUUGGUGACUCUAGCUGGAGUAGGUCCUGUGACCACCUGCCCAAGGCUCUGACACCCCUGGCAGCGUGUGGGCUCUUUUCCUUGACCCUAAGCAGUGCCCUAGACAAUUUUGUCCAGAGGCUCGACUGAUCAGAUUCCCAUUUACCGCUGCGGUACUCCAGCCCUAAGGCAUUUUUUUUUUCCUUUGGGAGAAGAAAACAGCUCCAGGAUCACACGUCUUUUGGGUGAGUGACCUCAUCAAAACACACCUGUGCCUAAAAUUGUCUAAUAUCUUCUAAGGAUCAUGGGUUAGAGGCCCCAUUGGUGUGAUUUGUUUUCUGGGUUAAAAUCGUGAGGCUAGGAUUAUGAGUUUAAGCGAGACAACAUAAAAGGGUUAUAGCCUCUAGGGCACUCAAAAGGAUCAGGUUAGAGUACUGAGCUCUGGGGUAGGGUCCCACAGUACCCUGGGUUACCAUCCCAAAGUAUUGGAUCUCUGUGUCUAUUCAUGUUUGUCUAUGUUUAACUCUGUUAUUUGUUAAAAUUGGCUAGUUGGGGACUGAAUUUCUCAGUGACCGCAACAAACUGCUUUUAAGAUUAAUCUUGUGAGGGUCUUCUGACUCUGAAGAAAAGAGGCACUCUUCCCUCUGGUCCUUCAGGAUGUUCCCAGGUGACUAGGAACUUUAUAGAGGUGUUGGGAGUGUCUGCCCAUGAUGUGCAACAGCCUCAGAGGUACCCCACCUGAAGAACAUAUCCUAUUGGGCCCUCAUUGUUUGUGGUGAGGCAAUCAGUCAUGGCAGCUCACCCAGGGCUUAAAUCACCUGAAUUUUGUGGGUGCUAGAACACGUAAGGGAAAGAGACAACCCCUUUGUUAUUCUUGGGGAAGCUGUUCCCACAAACGCACUAUCAGAUGUUAAACACCUCUCCUUAGAAGGACCUCGUUUAUUGCAGCCACAUUGAUAAAUCCCCCUUAAAAUGAGAAAUAAAAAUAGCAUACCAGGUAUACAAUAGUAUACCAAUGUAGCCCACUGGGAUACAUUCUUAAAAAUUGGACAAUGUUCAGUUAUAAGUCCAUGAAGAAAGAGAAAAUGAUUUUCUUUUGUAAUACAAGCUGGCCCCAAUACUCACUGGGGUCAUAUGAGGUAUGGUCCCAGUACGGAUCUCUGAACUGUAAUACCAUCUUGCAAUUAGACCUAUUCUGUAAAAGAGAAAAGAAACAGGACGAGAUCCCUUAUGUGCAGACUUUUAUGUCUUUAUAUCAGAAUAAGAAUUUGAGAAAAGGAUAUAAGAUCAUGAUUCAGAGGGAGGAUCCACAGAAAAAAAACCUGUUCUCCCAGAAGCAAAGUCAGAUGAUGACCUUGUCUUUCUGCAUUUGCUCUCUCCUACAGCUCCUCCACCGUGUAUCAGAGAUGCAGUUGGAGAUGACCAGGAAGAGCAUAAUGGCUCCCCCGAAGCCACUGGCUUGGCUUUAUACCCCGCUUUACCCCAUAGUCAGACAGGAAUGGUCUCCCCUCCUCCUACUCUUUGGGGUACUCAAUUCAGCCCAGGGAACGCUCCACCCCAGGCAGGUCAAUUCCCUCUAAGACAAGUCCUUCUAGGUCUUGAUGAUCAAGGCCAACCUAGAGGGUUUUUGUAUGUGCAUGUUCCCUUUUCAACUUUGGACUUAUACAACUGGAAGAACAUGUGUACUUAUUGAGAUGAUCCCCAAAAGAUGGAAAGUUUAUUUACAUCCAUCUUUGCUACAUAUGACCACAACUGAACUGACAUUCAGGCCCUUAUGAACAUCCUCCUCACCCCAGAGGAGCGUAAGAUGGUACUGGACAAAGCUCAUCAAGAGGCUGAGAGAUUCCACAAGUAACAACCUAACAACCCAAUCAGUGCUCCAGCGAUAGAGACCAUACCCAGAGUUGACCAAGCUGGGAUCCCAAUGACCCCAGAGGCCGGGCAAGGUUAAACCAUCAUAAAACCUGUUUGAUAACUGGAAUGCAGAAGGGGGUCCCAAAACUGAAAAGCUUAAAUAAGGUCCAGGAGGAACAACAAGGACCAAAAAUCCUUCAGUCUUCCUAGAGAGAGUCUUUGAAGCCUACAGAAAGUGUCCUGACAUCAACUGAGAGCAUCCGGAUAACAUGAGGCUGGUCAAUAUGAACUUUAUCAGAUAGAGUACCCCUGAUAUAAGGAAGAAACUGCAAAAAUUGGAAGGGGGAUUAGGGAUGCCCAUCUCACAACUUGUUGAGAUUGCAUUUAAGGUGUUUAACAGCUGUGACCAGGAACAAGAGAAACAAAAACAGUGGGAGAUGCAGAAGCAAGCCACUCUACUUGCUGCAGCCCUCAGUCACAAUCUUCCAAGGCCAAUGAGAGAAGACAGCCAGCCACAGGUAAGACCCCUGGCGUCCCCACCUUCCAACCACAAGAGAUACUCAGGCCUGGGGCCAAGACAAUGUGUCAUUUGUAGGCAGGACGGACACUGGAAAUGAGAACAUCCCAACUUUCCUCAGCAGGAAGGGAAAGAGGCUUGCCUCAAAGCCUCCCACCAGAUGCCACAGCUCGCAGACAGAAAAAGUAGACAUUAAAGUCCUCCCAGAUCGAGCCUGUGCAUUCCAAGCAGCGCUUGGCAUACCCCUAAGUCCUGGAACUGGAAGAAGAGCCUCAAUCAGAAGUCCCUGAAGAAAUUCUGCAAAAGUUCAAAGUGACAAUGGAGGAGCUUUCAUAGCCAAGGUAACACAAGAGUUGUCUGGAGCCCUCAGAAUACAAUGGAAGUGACAUGCUUCAUGGAGACUCCAGUCUACAAGGAAGACUGAAAAGAUGAAUCAUACCUUAAAGAAAACAAAAUACGUCAGGAAACCAACUUAACAUGGGACAAGGCCUUGCCAGUUGCCCUACUUAGGGUACAAGUACCUCCUAGAAGUAGGCUUCAAUUAAGCUGUUAUGAAAUGUUAUAUGGGAGACCCUUCCUUAAGACUAAACAUUAUUGCGAUUAUGAAAAUGGUCAUGUUGUAAGAGAAUUGGAUUCUAUAAAAUGUGUACAGUCCUUAGGUGCUACUUCAUCUGCUAUACAUAAAUAUGCUUCUAGCCAAUUAAUAUUUCCUACUGACAUUCCGCUGCAUUGCACAAGUAGGGCAUUGGGUCCUCUUCAAGACUUCAGUAAGUCAAUACUCUUAUUGAGUAUUGUGCAGGACCAACUGCAACCUAAGUGGAAUGGACCCUAUGAAAUCCUUCUGCUUACACAUUCUUCAAUAAGAUUAAAGGGAGUCAAGCCUUGGAUACACCACUCAUGAGUAAAAAUAGCACCCAUUUCCAGCCAGGACCUCCCUCACCCCCUUUAUAAUUCUCAAAUUCACAGACAUCAGGAAACAGAAGGACCGAAUCAUCCAAACAUUGGGUGGGCAUGGAGGUUGAGGGCCUGCAGUUCUACCAGAGAGUAUUCCUGUGAACCCCUAACUGAUCUUAAAUUACUUUUCAGAAAAAGCAACAAAAACUGAGGAAACUCUUGGGUCUCCACUAGGCUGAGUGAGUUUCAACUCCCUUUCUGACACUUGACUGAUUGACCAAUACAAGUAUCUCCAAACCAGGAUGAGAAGAAGAUGGCAUCUGUUGUAGACCACUGUCCCAAGACUCUGGACCAGGCCUCUGUUCUUAACCUUAUAUGUCUUAAUUUAAAUCCUUGUAAGGUUUAAACUCUAUUUAAUAGCUACAACUAUUAAUUUCUGGAUUGCCUUACAUUUUUACCUUCCCCAAUAUCUUACUCACCGAUUCUAUAAGAUAGAUUAGAACCUGAUUACAAAACCCUUUUGAUUAAUCACAAAAAUGCCAUUUGAGAUUUGCCUGAUACUGUGUUUAUUCCUCCAAUCCACAUCUGAAUGGGCCUCUAAUGGCAACGUCUUUUUUUACAAUGGGUACAUUCCUUUGCCACACACAAAAAUCAGUCCAGUUGUUGAAUAUGUGGCCAACUUCCCCUUCCUAGUACAUCUGGGUUUCCUUGGUGGGUUUCUCCCUUACAAGAUAUGGAUUGGAAAGCUUUAAAGCAAUUUAUUCUGAUGGAAAAAUCUAGUAUUCACAGUACAUUCCAUAUUACUAAUUAUGAUCCUGAAAUAUGGCCAGUAGCCCAUACUGUUAAUGAUACAGGGCACACUACUCUUUCCCUCUUACUCAAACCAGACAGUUAUCCCAACAACUUGUAAAGAAACAAAAGAAGAUAGAUAAUACUGUGAGAACUAUAGGAGGUUUUACACAAAUCUAGGAUGGAUAUGUUUGGCUUACUCCUAGUUAUGGAUCUUUAAAUGUGCCAGCACCCUCAUGUUGGGAACAAAGAAAUCGUUCGAAACAAAAUUUUCCAAAUUGCACUUGAAAUAUGGGAUGGAUAUCCCUUGAGUCAUGUCAAAAUACUGUUAUACUUAAAGAAAAAGACUGGUUUGGAACAGACUGUUCUCAAUGGCUAGCCAUUUACCAGGUGCCUCCUAAUGGAACUCGGUGGUUAUGUGGAACAAACCUCUGCCUUGGUUACCACCUGGAUGGCUAGGACACUGCACCCUGCGUUUCCCUUAGAUGCAGGGAAGGAUUCAUCCUGGGCUAACAUCCAUUGCCAAUCUUCCUCUCCUUAAGACCAGAUGGGCUCAUUCAGUGUUCCUCUGGUAUGACCCCCUAGCAGCUAUAUUUUUUCAUCCCUUGGGGCUAGAAGAUAUCAUAACACAUGUAGAAACUCUGAUUAAAUUUAGCCAACAAGAUCUUAAAGAUAGUCAAGCAGGAAUAGCCUUGUUAAAUACUGAAGUGUCUUCAAUGAGGAAGGCUGUCCUUUAAAACAGAAUAAACAGAAUGGCCUUAGAUGGUACCAGCCUCCCAAGGUGGUACAUGUGCAAUUAUUCAAACUGAAUGCUCUGUCUGUACACCUGAUGAAUCUUCCAAUGUGUCGUUCCUGUUAAAGCACAUGAGAAAGCAGGUGAAUGCCUUGAGCGAUCCUGCACCCAGUCUUGAUUUAUUUGGUUGGCUUCCCUCGGGUAUUGGUUCCUUUUUGCUAUCCAGAUUACAAUUCCUAUUUCUAUUACUUCUUGGAAUUCUCGUAUUAGUCAGAGUAUUCAAACUGAUUACUGUUUUCUUUACUCAGUGUUGUAAGACUAGUAUGGAGGCUAAAGUAAUGAUGGCUCAACAACUUGAGAUGGUCAAUCAAUUCUAUGACUCUGGAUGAAUUUCUCUCUCUGAUAAAGACUAUUUCUGAUAAAGCUUAAAUUAUUUUAAAACUAGUCUUUUCUAUAGUUGUAAACAACAUAAUCAUAAACAGUCGUAAAAAAGAACAUGUACAAUGUUUGCACAGCAAUCUAAAGUUAAUCGAAAAACAUAGGAAAACCUCCCUCUGUUAAUACGUAAAUAUCUAUGCUUGUCCACUAUUUCCCCCCAAGGUGGAUAAUUAGGCAAAUCAAUGGGAUAAAGGCCUAGCACCAAGGGACUUGAGGGACCCAGGGCAAGUAACUACCACCCUGGCGCCGAGGGACGAUAUUUUGGUCAUCAAUGCUUUCUAUGGAAGGAUUAUCAAAUGAAAAAGGGGAAAAUGAUAAAUAAAUAGAAAGCAAUAGGAUAAAUAGAAAGCAAAAGGAUAAUAGGUGGCAAAUUCUGGUCCCCUUCAAAAUAAUACCAAUUUAGCUUCAAUAAUAUUAAAAACUCUGCUCCUAUACAGAUCCAUCUUCUUCCUGUUAUGUUGUUAUUGUCAUAAAUUACAUCUUUAUACAUUGUUUGGCCAUUAGUGUAGAUUAUAAUCAUUGUUUUAUGCAGUUGUCUUUUCUAUGAUAUAGAAGAUAUGAGGGAGCCAUUUGGUUUAAAGUUAAUUUGGCCUAACCUUAUUUUUAUAAAAAGCCCUGACUAGCCUGCUAGGCAUGCAUUGUACAUCUGCUUUAAACAUUUACAAUGCCCGCAAAACCAAGAUAGGGAUGUUGCCUUCCCUCUUACCCCAGCAAUUCUUUAUAAAUAAGGAUUUCUUCCCAAUGAGGCAUGGCUGUACUUAAUAGGUUCUUUGAUGAAGGUCUUGUUAAUGCCUUCCGUUUGGGUUUGAGGUUCUUAAUUCCCUCGUCAAGUCUCUUCCCAGAGACCCAAGGAUGUCAAUCCCUCUGGAAACAAUGCUCUGGAACUUGUGAGUAGUUACAAUUAAAAGCUGAUCAUUCCUCAAGUCCUUGUUAGGCCUACACCCCUUCCCAUCACCUUACACACUAUCUCCAGCUAAAGAAAAAAGAAGAUGUUGUAGGGGACAGUUAUGGCAGGUUAUCAGACAAAGCACAGUAAAUGAGGAUAUGGCUGCUAUGCAGAUUUAAGUCUUUGCUUUCUCCACUGAUUACAGUUACUGGAGACUGAGAGUUAGUCUUCUCUUUCUAGUACAGAGAGAAAAAGAUGCUCUCACAAAUGGAGAUUUCUCUUACAAAUGCAAAUAUCUUUUACACAAGAGCAACUUCUACUCAGUUUACAGAGCUUUUCCUGUGGCUAUAGUUUUUCAAAAAUAACCAGGUCAAGAUAAUCCUUAUGCCGAAGAGACAUAUUUUGGGGUGGCAAAUUCUGGUCCCCUUCAAAAUAAUACCAAUUUAGCUUCAAUAAUAUUAAAAAACUCUGCUCUUAUACAGAUCCAUCUUCUUCCUGUUAUGUUGUUAUUGUCAUAAAUUACAUCUUUAUACAUUGUUUGGCCAUUAGGGUAGAUUAUAAUUAUUGUUUUAUGCAGUUGUCUUUUCUAUGAUAUAGAAAUAAAAAGAGGAGAUACAAACCACAAAUACAAUAAUACCGCCUUUUAUAUUUACCUAUGUAGUUACCUUAUUUAGUCAUAUGGCUCAAGUUAUUGUCUAGCAGACUUUCAUUUCAGCCUGAAAGAUUCCCUUUAGCAUUUUUUAUAUUGCAGCUCAACUGAAAAUGAAAUCCCUCAUCUUUUGAGUAUCUGGGAAUAUCUUAAUUUCUUCCUUAAUUGUUGAAGGGUAGUUUGCCACACACUUCAAAUCAAAAGUCACAAAUAGGCUGAAAGUGAAAGACCAGAAAGGUAUUCCAGGCAAAUAUUAACCAAAAGAGAGCUGAAGCAGUGGUAAUAAUAUCAGACAAAAUAGAAUUUAAGUCAAAAGUUGUUACAAGAGACAAGCAAGGUGAUUAUAUAUUGAUGAAAAGGUCAAUCCUCAAGAAGAUAUAAUAAUUGUAAAUAUAGACUCACUUAAAGACCUCUGAAGUAUAUAAAAUAAAGAUUGACAGAAUUGAAAGGAGAAAUAGGUUUAUAAUAACUGGAGACUACAAUACCAUACUUUCAAUAAUGAAUAGAACAUCUAGAUGGAAUAUCAAUAAAGAAAUAGAGGACUUGAACAACACUGUAAACCAAUUAGACCCAGCAGACAUAUACAGGACAGUUCACCCCAAAAGAUCUAAACAAAAUCUAAAUAAGAUCUAAUAUCAAUAAUCAAACUUUCACUUUAGGAAACUAGAAAAAGAGGA